rnacentral:rRNA from 1 species
GAUGAACGCUGGCGGCGUGCUUAACACAUGCAAGUCGAACGGUGAAGGCGGAGCUUGCUCUGCUGGAUCAGUGGCGAACGGGUGAGUAACACGUGAGCAAUCUGCCCUUGACUCUGGGAUAAGCGCUGGAAACGGCGUCUAAUACUGGAUACGAGCUGCGAAGGCAUCUUCAGCAGCUGGAAAGAACUUCGGUCAGGGAUGAGCUCGCGGCCUAUCAGCUUGUUGGUGAGGUAACGGCUCACCAAGGCGUCGACGGGUAGCCGGCCUGAGAGGGUGACCGGCCACACUGGGACUGAGACACGGCCCAGACUCCUACGGGAGGCAGCAGUGGGGAAUAUUGCACAAUGGGCGAAAGCCUGAUGCAGCAACGCCGCGUGAGGGACGACGGCCUUCGGGUUGUAAACCUCUUUUAGCAGGGAAGAAGCGAAAGUGACGGUACCUGCAGAAAAAGCGCCGGCUAACUACGUG